UACAGAGGUCCCAAGCGUUGUUCGGAUUCACUGGGCGUAAAGGGUGCGUAGGUGGCCAGGUAAGUUUGAUGUGAAAGCUCGGAGCUUAACUCCGAAAUGGCAUUGAAUACUAUCUGGCUUGAGGGUCGGAGGGGAGACUGGAAUUCUCGGUGUAGCAGUGAAAUGCGUAGAUAUCGAGAGGAACACCAGUGGCGAAGGCGAGUCUCUGGACGACACCUGACAGCUGAGGCACGAAAGCUAAGGGGAGCAAACCAGG
rnacentral:rRNA from 1 species